GAAAAACUAGUUAAAUUAUAACAUAAGAUUGUCAUUCUUAAAUCACUUUGGUGUUUUUCA
rnacentral:tRNA from 1 species